rnacentral:rRNA from 1 species
UACGUAGGGGGCAAGCGUUGUCCGGAUUUAUUGGGCGUAAAGAGCGUGUAGGCGGCCUGACAGGUCUGCUGUGAAAACUAGAGGCUUAACCUCUAGACGUCGACCGAAACCAUCUGGCUAGAGUCCGGAAGAGGAGAGUGGAAUUCCUGGUGUAGCGGUGAAAUGCGCAGAUAUCAGGAAGAACACCCGUGGCGAAAGCGGCUCUCUGGGACGGUACUGACGCUGAGACGCGAAAGCGUGGGGAGCGAACAGG